AUUGAACGCUGGCGGCAGGCCUAACACAUGCAAGUCGAGCGAGCGGCGGACGGGUGAGUAAUGUCUGGGAAACUGCCUGAUGGAGGGGGAUAACUACUGGAAACGGUAGCUAAUACCGCAUACCAUCAGAUGUGCCCAUAUGGGCGUAGCUAGUAGGUGGGGUAACGGCUCACCUAGGCGACGAUCCCUAGCGGGUCUGAGAGGCUGACCAGCCACACUGGGAAUGAGACACGGCCCAAACGCCUACGGGAGGCAGCAGUAGGGAAUAUUGCACAAUGGGCGAAAGUCUGAUGCAGCCAUGCCGCGUGUGUGAAGAAGGCCUUCGGGUUGUAAAGCACUUUCAGCGGGGAGGCGGUACCCGCAGAAGAAGCAACGGCUAACUCCGUGCCAGCAGCCGCGGUAAUUC
rnacentral:rRNA from 1 species